CUCAAAUCCCCUCCCCCCUGAAUUUCAGAAUUUCCGAAUUUAAUGUGUAGCGGCUCGGCGGCGACUGAGAGGAUUCGAUUCGGCAUCGGCACCGUAGCCAGCGGGGCGAUGGGGGCCAGAGGGAUCGAUGAUUUCCCUGUGGAUCCGGUGUGCGGGCUAGUCCCCCGCCCCCUCCCCCACGCAUCUGUAUUCUGUGGUGGCCGCGCGAGCUCAUCCAUGGUCCUUGACUCCCCCCGGCGGUGCGCCGUGUCUUUUUUCGUCGUGUGUGCAGGUUGCUGAUCUUCCAGGAGGCGCCGCGCGGGAGCGCGGUUGGGAGCAGGGGAGGAGAUGUGCUGCGGGAUUCAUCUGUGGCUCCGCACAACAACGGCGUGGAGUACGACGGCGAUGGGAGCAUGGAGAAUGGCCCAGCGGAGUCGGGGGAGUCGGCCGUCAAGCCGGCUCCACGGUCGCCGGACUGGAUUAAGAGAGUUCAUGCGGGCACUAUUCCUACAUAAAGAACACCCUGUCUGGGAAGGAUGGGGGCCCUCAAAAUAUCUAAAGGGGCUUUGCGGAGCGAGAUAGAGAAGAGGUUGUCAAGCCAUAGUUAUGCACCACAUUUGACAUGUUGACGGAAGCGUACGACUUCUACAAUCUAUACUCAUGGGAACUUGGUUUCGGUAUAACGUAUGGCAAAAGCCGACUGAAUCCAGGCAAGCAGAAGACAAAUGCAAGAGAUAGUCUGUGGUUGCUCGGUAAGGAUGCAGAACUGAAAUGAAUUUAGACAAGAAAUACAGGCGAUAAAGAGCACACUGUCAGAUACAGUCCACCGGUGAUUUAAGUGGCACAUCUUGAAGGCUAUAGAAAGUUUGGGGGUUCUGCACGGGAAUAGAAAAUGAAUUUAGACAUGAGUUUCAUAAAGUCAUAAACCAUAUGCUCACAGUGGACGAGAUCGAUCGAGGAAGCGUGGUCUCAGCUACUGGAGAAGUACGACCCGAAGGCACACUCGUACAUGACGCAGAUUUUCGGGAUAAGGGAGAAGUGGGCAAAGUCAUAUUUCAAGGGAAUUUUCUGUGUGAAGAUGACAAGUACCCAGAGGAGUGAGAGUGUGAACCAUAUGCUGAAGAAAUAUGUGCCCUCCGGCUCUCUGAUGCAUAAGUUUGUUAGGCAGUACAUGCGGUUGCAGUUUAAUCGUCAAUCAGAUGAGAGUUAUGAAGAGAAGAAAACUAAAAUCGUAAGUGCAGCUUCAUUGAGAAAGAAACGGUAGAGACAUGAGAAGUGGAGCUAGGUGGUUUUCCUAGUAAAAAUGACCGGUAAUGGUUCAGAGUUUGGGUGAGAAUGCGGGCUUUUUGAGCACAUAGGCAUGGUGUCUUGUCAUAUACUUCAGGUGAUGGAUUCCUUGGCAUGACAAAGGUGUCGGAUAAGCACAUUGUGAGAAGGCGGACCAACGAUGGUCGAGACAUACUGCCAGAGCACUUGCAUCACUACCAGUGCGAUCAGCUUGGUGCCACGCCCCUGACUUUUCGUCAUAAUCGGAUGUAUGUGCAGGCAUUAGAGUUGAUCCGAUUGGGAGAUGCCAGUGUGGAAGCUUAACACUGAUGGGACUCAUCAAUAAAGCUAUGAAGGUGAUGGCUCCUUUCGACCAGGCGAGGAAUGGGCUGGGACAGGAGGAUCGUGUCAGUGGCAAGAAGCAAGGCAAUGUCGAUGAAAAAGAAACCAAGGCUGGCGAGGAUGAGUAUGUUGUGCUGCCGGGGCAUAGCAAUCUUUUGGUUGGCCUGGGAGUGCCGUCAAAGAAGAAAAGUGCAGGGAGGCCGACAAACGCAAGAGGCCAGGCACCUUACGAAGGAUUGAGUAAGAGUAGAUUCUGUAGCAUCUGCAAAAUUCAAGGCCACAAACGAACAACUUGCCCGCAGAGAGGAGACGUUCCCAAAGUUUAGAGGAAAGAAGCAAAACUGCAGCAAGUGUGGUGUCACUGGCCAUCAGAAGAACACCUGCGACAGGCCAGCGGGAAAAGUUGUUCAGGGUGUACUGUUGUACUAGCAAUUAGGACCAAAAGUGGUUGUAGAAUGCACAUGUUGUGCGUGUGAUGUGAACGUUAAUGAAAUACUAUCAUGGUGAUAAGAUGACUAAAUCUGUUACAUCUGUUGUGGUAAAUACAAAUUUUGAAAUGCAUAAGCAAGUAGGGGGGCAGCCAGUGCCACACGGUUGGUAUGCAUGCCGUGGGAGAGUCAGUAAGUUUGAACUUUCAAAAUUUGAACGUGAAUAGGAUGCCUGUGAUGUGGCGUGUAAUGGUUUGAAUAGAAGCUGGAGGGAUCACGCGACGGCCAAGCAGACCAGGUGCUACAGGGCUUCGGUCCAUGAGAAAUGGAUGACAGUCGAGACCGUAGUGGACUAAAGUGAGCCACCUCAUUAAUGGAUAGUGGACAGGUGACAGGGGCACUGUUUGAUAAAUAAUUCACGGCUGCAAUACCAUGCUAAAUACAGCUGCACGCAGCGAUCUAGAGGAGGACCAACGGCUUAGAUAGUACUAUCAUAUGCUAGUACGAGCCAUUUUGAAUUUUCGCAAUUACACUACUUAGCAAAGAUGUGUGUAAGCACCUAGCUAAGGAAGUUACUAUAAUAACUCUUGCUGCUUAGUUACCUCUGCUACUAGCAAGCCAAACUAUAACAGAUAUAUGUAUAGGUAAUUAGCAUCUGCUGCUUCCCGUUAAAUAUCUCAAGAGAUUUGAACUUGCCUUUUCAUGCACAUUAUGUUUUCAUGUAGAUGGAAAAGGAAACGUCAAUUGUUAUUUCUGAGUUGAGAAAACUUUUCUUGCUAUCCUGGCUGCAAGCUCAAUUGCAAAGGCAACAUC